rnacentral:rRNA from 1 species
CCUACGGGAGGCAGCAGUGGGGAAUUUUGGACAAUGGGCGCAAGCCUGAUCCAGCUAUUCCGCGUGUGGGAAGACGGCCUUCGGGUUGUAAACCACUUUUGUAGAGAACGAAAAGUCUAUUGAUAAUACCGAAAGACGAUGACGGUACUCUAAGAAUAAGCACCGGCUAACUACGUGCCAGCAGCCGCGGUAAUACGUAGGGUGCGAGCGUUAAUCGGAAUUACUGGGCGUAAAGGGUGUGCAGGCGGUUGUGCCAGAUGGAUGUGAAGGGCGCGGGCUUAACCUGGGAAAGCCAUAGAUGACUGCAAGACUAGAGUGCGUCAGAGGGAGGUGGAAUUCCAAGUGUAGCAGUGAAAUGCGUAGAUAUUUGGAAGAACACCGAUGGCGAAGGCAGCCCCCUGGAACGCAACUGACGCUGAGACACGAAGGCGUGGGGAGCAAACAGGAUUAGAUACCCGGGUAGUC